CCUACGGGCGGCAGCAGUGAGGAAUAUUGGUCAAUGGACGAGAGUCUGAACCAGCCAAGUAGCGUGAAGGAUGACUGCCCUAUGGGUUGUAAACUUCUUUUAUAUGGGAAUAAAAUGUUCCACGUGUGGGAUUUUGUAUGUACCAUAUGAAUAAGGAUCGGCUAACUCCGUGCCAGCAGCCGCGGUAAUACGGCGGAUCCGAGCGUUAUCCGGAUUUAUUGGGUUUAAAGGGAGCGUAGGUGGAUUGUUAAGUCAGUUGUGAAAGUUUGCGGCUUAACCGGAAAAUUGCAGUUGAAACUGGCAGUCUUGAGUACAGUAGAGGUGGGCGGAAUUCGUGGUGUAGCGGUGAAAUGCUUAGAUAUCACGAAGAACUCCGAUUGCGAAGGCAGUUCACUGGACUGCAACUGACACUGAGGCUCGAAAGUGUGGGUAUCAAACAGGAUUAGAUACCCGAGUAGUC
rnacentral:rRNA from 1 species